rnacentral:lncRNA from 1 species
GUACAUCCUUAAUAGAGUUCUCAAUAAGUCUGUGCCUAAAAAUACCUUUCGAACUUUGGACAGAUAGGAAAUCUAGCUUAAAUCAUUUUUGAAUUUGGGAUUAUCCUGUAGAAGUAAAAAUAUAUAAUCUCAUAGAGAAAAAGACUGAUUCUAGAAUCAAUCAUUAUUUCAUUGGAUAUCCAGAAUAUGUUAAAGGAUAUAGGUUC